CCUGCUUCAUGGUACGAGCUCUUGGUUUUUUUGUCCUGUUCUUCCCUCUCUUUCCGAUUGCUUUCAUCUUAAAUGGCUUCACCCUUUUGCUUAUGCUGGAUUUACUCCUUACCCAUGGUUCCUAAGCAAAACGACGACGUUUUUUAGGGGCUGAUCUUCCAAUUGGUUGCCGCGAUUACAUGUGUGUCCCUUGUAUGGGCCUCCUUUCCUCUUGC
rnacentral:misc_RNA from 1 species